AAUAGAUACCCAGGUAGUCCACGCCGUAAACGGUGGGCACUAGGUGUGGGCGACAUUCCACGUCGUCCGUGCCGCAGCUAACGCAUUAAGUGCCCCGCCUGGGGAGUACGGCCGCAAGGCUAAAACUCAAAGGGAAUUGACGGGGGCCCGCACAAGCGGCGGAGCAUGUGGCUUAAUUCGACGCAACGCGAAGAACCUUACCAAGGCUUGACAUACACCGGAAACGUCCAGAGAUGGGCGCCCCCUUGUGGUCGGUGUACAGGUGGUGCAUGGCUGUCGUCAGCUCGUGUCGUGAGAUGUUGGGUUAAGUCCCGCAACGAGCGCAACCCUUGUCCCGUGUUGCCAGCAGGCCCUUGUGGUGCUGGGGACUCACGGGAGACCGCCGGGGUCAACUCGGAGGAAGGUGGGGACGACGUCAAGUCAUCAUGCCCCUUAUGUCUUGGGCUGCACACGUGCUACAAUGGCCGGUACAAUGAGCUGCGAUACCGCGAGGUGGAGCGAAUCUCAAAAAGCCGGUCUCAGUUCGGAUUGGGGU
rnacentral:rRNA from 1 species